UGGUCCUAUAUAUAUGCCAUAAUCUAAUUGAUCCAAAUUUCCCUUUUCUAUAUGUGUCUCCCAAAAUGAUUAACUUCCAAAAUUGCCUUGGCCAAUUUGAUACCAAAUGUUUUUAGUGAUGAAUUGUCGUAAAAAUGAUAAUUGGGAUAUUGAUAUUUUUUAAAAAACUUGUUAUUAUUACUUUUUGUUACGAAAGAUUUAUCAGAGACGAUUUUCUUAUCCUUGCAAAGUAAGACCUGAUAAAAUCUGUGUACAUGAAUUAUACUACAUAUAUUACUGCUGAAUAUUUUUGGUAAGGAUGAUAUGAAAGUUAAUAAUUAUUAUCUUCUAAGUAACCUGAUUAUACAUCUAAGAUUAGUUUUGAUGCUCCUAGAUGUAUUUAAUUUAAUCUUUUGACAUAAUUUAUAAUUAGUGGGCCGGAUCUUGGGCCAGCACAUCAUAUAUAUCUCAAUUCUAUAAGACAAAGAAAUUAAAAAGCCCCAAAACUGAGAAAUGUAACAAAAUUUUGGAAAGUUAUUGAAUUCUUUUUUCUUUUUCUUCAAAACGUGUUCGUUUUGUUGAGCUGUAUAACCGUUUUUCCCCAAAAAUACUUUCUCCUCUCCCCAGUAACUAUUCUUCUCAAGAAUUCUCUCACUCUCCAUUGUUUCUUCUCAAGAAUUCUCUCUCCAUUAUUUCUUCUCCCAAACACUGUUUCUUCUCCCAAACUACUGUUCUUCCAGGCACAAUGCCUGCAUCAUAUAUUGAAAAGAUAGUGUGGCAGGUCGUAGCUGUACUGUUUCACUUCGCUACUGCGUGCUUUGUCAUGAUUCGAGGUGAAACAGUGAUUAUGCUUCUGAGCCUAGCUUGGGUCGCCUUCUCACCACUGGUGCAUCUUUAUGCGUUUCUCAGUACGAGAAGGCAUGGCGACGAACAAAUCAGACGUCCUAAUUUGGUAAGGGCUAAUGUGUGGGAUGUCAGGUUUGUUAUGCAUUCUAAUGGCCUUUAGACCGAUUGCUACUGACGGCGGCGUCCACUAUAUCGUCUCUCAUUUGAUAAUGAAUAUGUCCGUGCGAGAUUAAGGAUUUACUAAUAUCAAGACUUUAAUUGCUAUGAUGAUCAUGUGCUACCUGUGGAAAAAGAAAGAUGAAUUACCAAUGAGGUAAGGCGUAGACAGCCUGAGACGCUUGAGGUAGCAGGGACAUGUCACGGACUUAGAGUAUUUGCUAAGAUUUCGUAUGGCACUUGACAACUUACUCACGAUUCUUUCACUAUCUCGUAAGCUCAAGUAAGCCUUUAAACUCGAGAAUAUGAAGAAACACUUAGAAAAUGCAAAGAGAACUUUAGAAGAAGGAACCUUGUAUUACUACUUUACUUGGUUGGAUUGUUGGAUGAUUUACAAAUUAAUGACCCUCCUAUUUAUACUACAUCCUAAGAGCCUUAGUGUAAAUAAAAUUUACUAUACAAGUCUUUCUACUAACUACACUUUAGUCCAUAUUCUAGAGAAUUCUACAUUGUCUAGAAUAUGCUAAAGUCUUCUACAAAGCUCUAAAGUAUUCUAGAGAAUUCCCUAGAAUUCUCUAGUCUUCUCCACAAAACUAGAAGUUUCUAGAGCCUUCUUGCAAACCUCUUCAAGACUCUAGCUCCUCCUCCUCCAUUCCUUCUUGGAACUUUCUUCGUGCGCGGUGGCAAGGCCUUCUCAGCACCAUUGUCUUCUCCCAAACUUGCAAUGGUAGCUGCAUAUGUCAUCUUUUUUCCCUCGUCGACCCGCUCGAGCUUCAUGGCCGUCAGCCGGACUUGUCCCUCCGUCUUCUGUGCCUUCAUCAUGGGAACCAUACAUGUUCCUCCUUUCUCCAUGACCAUCAGUUGUUGGAGGUAAGGAUCGAUCACCGCAUGACACUGCUGGAAGAACUCCUGCCCAAGAAUUAUAUCAAAAAUAUCUAAGGGAGCGACGGUGAAUUUGGUUUUACCUUGCCAAUCGCCUAUCGUGAUGCUCACUCCGUGCGCAACUCCAUCUACCGGAGUUGGUGGUGCAUUGACCGUCCUGAUUUGGGCGUUGCUUGGACCGUAACGCAACCCCAACCUCGUUGCUACCUUCUUGGCCAGGUAAUCUUAUUGAGGGUGAUAAUAUGUGGUCAUGGUUUACGUUUGGUGUUGUCAUUCCCCUGGGCUCCAUAAUCUCAGGCAUACCGUUAACAUUAUUACUCCAUAAUCCAACUGAUGGAACCCUUUUUAACAGAAAGCAGCUAGCAAAACGUUGCUCCAAUCAAAAGUUGAAAACAUAGCUUGUUUUGUUUUGAAGUACAAUUUUGAUGUUUUCACAUAAGUUUGUUACUUGCACUUUGUGUUUUGCUUAUUUUAUUAGCAAUAUUUUCGUC